GAUAAGUGGAUAUGGCAGCUAACAUACAAAGGACUUUGUGUAGUGGUUUUAACAUUAAUGGAAUGUCCUUGACAAGGGUUGCUUAUCUGUGGGGAGAGUUAGACCGGGACAUUUGUGUGAAACAACUUUACAGAAUUAUGAGGAAACUGAAAUGAAAUCAAACAUGGAACUUUUAAACAAAGUUUUUAAGACAGUUUUGUAUCCAGACUGGCCUCAGUAGUCACUGUUGAGCAGGUAAGAUGGCUUUGGGUAUGUGCUGCCAAGCCUCACAGUCUGGAAUUUGGUUUCUAGAACCCACAAGGUAGGAGAAAACUCUCACCAUUUUCCUCAGACCUUUUCACAUGUGCUGUGGCACAAUCAAGAUUGCUUUUUCCUUUGUCUUUAGUGUGCCUAGAGUCAGGGUGCUUUUAUAUAUAAAAUAUGUUUCUCAGACUUCAUAUUCCAGUUUCUGUGAGCUGGAAAGCUUGUAUAUAGACUGUUUGCUUCUGUCCUUCCAGUGCCAGGAGUCAGAAUGUCAAGGUGGGAACUGGAGCGGAGACCAUAGAGGAAAGCUGCUGACUGUUUGCUUUUCAUAGUUCUACAACCUGGGAUUACCUGGCAAAUUCCCCAGUGAGCUGGGCUCUCCCACAUCAAUCAUUAGUCUGGAAAAUGUGCCACAUAUUAUGGAGGCUGCCUUAGUUAUUCUGUUGGUGUGAGAGACACCAUGACCAAGGCACCUCUGAUAGAGCAUUUAGUUGAGAGCUUGCUCACAGUUUCAGAGGGUUACUUUGUUAUGGCAGGCAUGGUGCUUGCAAGUAGCUGAGGGCUUUACAUUCUUGCCAGUAGUCAGUGGACAGUAAAACAACUUAGCCUGGGCUUUUGAAACCUCAAAGCACACCGUCUCCAACAUGUCCUAACCCUUUCCAACAGCUGACCAACUGGAAACAAAGCAUUCAAAUACAUGAACCUAUGAGGCCAUUCUUAUUUAAACCAACACAGAGGCAUUUAGAUUCUCUUCCUGAGAAGUCUAGGUUUGUGAAAUUGGCAAACCAACUAGGACAAACUGAACCAACACACUAGCAUUUUGAUCUAUAAUGUUACCACUGAUUACAGAAGUAGGAAUGUGGAUCUGUUCUGAAACACCUAUGAGCCAAGUGAUCAAACACUGAUCAAAAGUCCUGUAAAGUUCAGUCUUAAUUACAUUUCUGUACCAUGACCAGAGAAACUUACAAAAGAAAGCAUUUAAUUGGGAUCUUGCUUAACAGUUUCAGAAGGAAAUGUCAGUAGUGACCAUUGUGGGAAGCUUGACAGCAGGCAGUCAGGCAUGAAGCUGAAUCAAGCUGAAAGCUUUCAGAUUGAGACAAUCAUGAGAGAGACACAACCUAGAGGUAGAGAAAGCUGGAUGGGCUUUUGAUUCCUCAAAGCGGAGUUCCAGUAACAUACCUUCAACAAGCCCACACCUAAUCCUUCCCACACUUUUACAAGCUGCAGCCCAAACAUUCAAACAAAUAUAUGAGCCUUUGAGAGCCAUUCUUAUCCAAAUCACCACCAUUCUUAAACAAACAAACCUGCUGCUGAGUGGAAGUGUAAAGAGUUUAACUUGAAUAAAGCCUGCUUUUCUGAUUCCUGUUUGCUUUCUUUUUCUUCAAAACAGGGUUUCUCUAUAGCCCUCAUAGUCCUGAAACUCAUUCUGUACACCAGGCUGGCCUCGGACUCAGAGGCUCACCUUCCUCUUCCUACUGAGUGGUGGGAUUAAAGGGGUGUGCCACCCCAUCAGGCAAUGUUUGUUUGCUUGCUUUUUAUUUAUUUUAUGUAUAUGAUACACUAGCUGUACAAAUGGUUGUGAGCCACUAUGUGGUUGCUGGGAAUUGAACUCAGGACCUCUGCUCUGUCCCGCCCCACUUGCUGCGGCCCAAAGUUAUAUGUAAGUACACUGUAGCUGUCUUCAGACACACCAGAAGAGGGCAUCAGAUCUCAUUACAGAUGGUUGAGCCACCAUGUGGUUGCUGGGAUUUGAACUUGGGACCUUCGGAAGAGCAGUCAGUACUCUUAACUGCUGAGCCAUCUCUCCAGCCUGCUUGCUUGCUUUUUUAAUGAUUUGUUUAUUCUUAAAUUUAUGUACGUUGGUGUUCCUUCCUCUGGAAAAGGAAAGCAACCAGGGAUCUUAACUCUCCAGCCCACAUUUGUUUGCUCUGUAAACUAGCUUGAUGGUCCAGCAGCCAGUGCCUCUUUAAUCCAGAAAAGUUUUCUGCUUCCUGCAAAGGCUGGUCAUGGAAGAUGAGUUUACCUGUUUGUGUGUGAUUCAUGUGUACGCCUUUAGUGUUUGAAACAAGAUCUCUUACUAAAGCUGUGGCAUAACUAGAAACACCAGGGACCCCUCCUGCCUCCACUACUGAGAUUACAGCUGUGCCCCAACAUGACUGGAUACAAGGGAUCUGAACUUUGGUCCUCACCUUACUUGACAGCAACACUCUUCCAGCUGAUCCAGAAUCCCAGUUUUGUUUUUUAAUGCCGAUUUGAAAUGUAUUAUAAAAGGUGGGGGCAGGAAGAUCACAAUUCUAGAUCACCUGAGGUAUAUGAAAUCCUGGGUUAAAAACAGCUUCAAAACAGCCAGAACUCAGUGCCAGCUGUCAAUGUCAUGCUGAAGUUCUCCAGGCACCCUUAGUCCAGUGUCCAUCUUGAUCCAGCAUCCUGAUGCCUGGCAGUUUUUGUGUGAUGUUUAAUGAACUGGGACUGGAAAAGGAGGAGACAGCCAAGUUGGAUCAAAGUGUGUGUGUGUUGCCUAUAUGCAUAUGUCUUGAAUUCCCUGGAACUAGAAUUAAAGUUGUGAGCUGCCAUUUGUCAAGGAUAGAAAGAAGCACAUUGAUGUCGUCCUCUGCAUGUUCUUUCCCAGAAGUCUGCCAGACACAUGCCCAGAAAAGUGCAAUGUGAAUAAGCCAGCAACCAUUGACAGCAGCUUCAUACUUGCCAGCAUAUUUUUAAUUUAAAUUUAUUUACUUAUUGUUUGUCUUAUUUAAAUUUUUAAAAUUGUAAUUAAUUUUAAAUUAAAAUUUAAUUUAAAAUU
rnacentral:lncRNA from 1 species